rnacentral:rRNA from 1 species
AUGAACGCUGGCGGCAUGCCUAAUACAUGCAAGUCGGACGGAGGGAGGAUAGCUUGCUAUCGGACCUCAGUGGCGAACGGGUGAGUAACACGUAGACAACCUGCCCCCUGGCCCGGGACAACCUCUGGAAACGGAGGCUGAUACCGGACGGGCAGGAGAGGGGCAUCCCUCUCCUGUGAAAGGCCCUGCAAGGGGCCGCGAGGGGAUGGGUCUGCGGUGCAUUAGCUAGUUGGCGGGGCAGCGGCCCACCAAGGCGACGAUGCAUAGCCGGCCUGAGAGGGCGGACGGCCACAUUGGGACUGAGACACGGCCCAGACUCCUACGGGAGGCAGCAGUAGGGAAUUUUCGGCAAUGGGGGGAACCCUGACCGAGCAAUGCCGCGUGAGCGAAGACGGCCUUCGGGCUGUAAAGCUCUGUUGCGGGCGAAGAGAGGCUGCGGGAGGAAAUGCCCGGAGCAGGACGGUAGCCCGCCAGAAAGCCACGGCUAACUACGUGCCAGCAGCCGCGGUAAUACGUAGGUGGCGAGCGUUAUCCGGAAUCAUUGGGCGUAAAGGGUGCGCAGGCGGCUCCCUAAGUCCGGGGUAAAAGCCCAUGGCUCAACCAUGGCGAGCCCUGGAAACUGGGGAGCUGGAGCACAGGAGAGGACGGCGGAAUUCCAUGUGUAGCGGUAAAAUGCGUAGAUAUAUGGAGGAACACCAGUGGCGAAGGCGGCCGUCUGGCCUGCAGCUGACGCUGAGGCACGAAAGCGUGGGGAGCAAAUAGGAUUAGAUACCCUAGUAGUCCACGCCGUAAACGAUGAGGACUAAGUGUCGGGGAGACCCGGUGCUGGAGCAAACGCAAUAAGUCCUCCGCCUGGGGAGUAUGCACGCAAGUGUGAAACUCAAAGGAAUUGACGGGGGCCCGCACAAGCGGUGGAGUAUGUGGUUUAAUUCGACGCAACGCGAAGAACCUUACCAGGCCUUGACAUGGCGCCAAAGGCCCCGGAGACGGGGAGAUAGGCAUGGCGCACACAGGUGGUGCAUGGUUGUCGUCAGCUCGUGUCGUGAGAUGUUGGGUUAAGUCCCGCAACGAGCGCAACCCUCGUGUCCAGUUGCCAGCGGAAGAUGGGGACUCUGGACAGACUGCCGGUGACAAACCGGAGGAAGGCGGGGAUGACGUCAAAUCAUCAUGCCCCUUAUGGCCUGGGCUACACACGUACUACAAUGGCGGAUACAGAGAGCAGCGAGCCCGCGAGGGGGAGCGAACCUCAGAAAGUCCGUCUCAGUUCGGAUCGGAGUCUGCAACCCGACUCCGUGAAGCCGGAAUCGCUAGUAAUCGCGGAUCAGCAUGCCGCGGUGAAUACGUUCUCGGGCCUUGUACACACCGCCCGUCAAACCAUGGGAGUCGGCAAUGCCCGAAGCCGGUGGCCCAACCCGCAAGGGAGGGAGCCGUCGAAGGCAGGGCUGACGACUGGGGUU